rnacentral:ncRNA from 1 species
GUGUUGUACGAAAAGAGAGAAGGUUCGCACUCCCUUUGAUAAGGAUGGAAGAACAACACCCAUAUGGUCAAACAGCAAGGCCAAGUUCUUUC